rnacentral:rRNA from 1 species
AGCCACUGCUAUGGGAGUCCGACUAAGCCAUGCGAGUCCAGGGGGGCUUUGCCCACCGGCGGACGGCUCAGUAACACGUGGACAACCUGCCCUCGGGAGGGGGAUAACCCUGGGAAACUGGGGCUAAACCCCCAUAGGCCAUGGGUGCUGGAAGGCCCUGUGGCUGAAAUUCCUUCGGGAGCCCGAGGAUGGGUCUGCGGCCUAUCAGGUCGUAGUGGGGGUAACGGCCCCACUAGCCUACGACGGGUACGGGCCUUGGGAGAGGGAGCCCGGAGAUGGACUCUGAGACACGAGUCCAGGCCCUACGGGGCGCAGCAGGCGCGAAACCUCCGCAAUGCGCGAAAGCGCGACGGGGGGACUCCCAGUGCCUACGCUCAGCGUAGGCUGUUCCCGAGCCUAAAAAGCUCGGGGAGUAAGGGCUGGGUAAGACGGGUGCCAUCUGUGACGGCAGUUACAGAUUUGACUUGCCGUCGCAAGGCAUAAGCCGCCGCGGUAAUACCCGCAGCCCGAGUGGUGGCCGCUAUUAUUGGGCCUAAAGCGUCCGUAGCCGGCCCGGUAAAUGCCUGGGUAAAUCGUCUGGCCCAACCAGACGAAUUCCGGGUAGACUGCCGGGCUAGGGACCGGAGGAGGGAGAGGGUACUCCAGGGGUAGGGGUGAAAUCAGCAAGGUGAGUUGCUGAUGUAACUUGCCUUGCAAGUCACAAUCCUGUAAUCCCUGGAGGACCACCGGUGGCGAAGGCGCUCUCCUAGGACGGGUCCGACGGUGAGGGACGAAAGCCAGGGGAGCAAACCGGAUUAGAUACCCGGGUAGUCCUGGCCGUAAACGAUGUGGGCUUGGUAUUGGGAUGGCUACGAGCCGUUCCAGUGCCGUAGGGAAGCCGUUAAGCCCACCGCCUGGGGAGUACGGUCGCAAGGCUGAAACUUAAAGGAAUUGGCGGGGGAGCACUGCAACGGGAGGAGCGUGCGGUUUAAUUGGAUUCAACGCCGGGAAGCUCACCGGGGGAGACUGCCGUAUGUGGGCCAGGCUGAAGACCUUGCCCGAACAAAAGGCAGAGAGGUGGUGCAUGGCCGCCGUCAGCUCGUACCGUAGGGCGUUCUGUUAAGUCAGGUAACGAGCGAGACCCCCGCCCCUAGUUGCGACUUGUCUCUCCGGAGGCAAGGCACACUAGGG